GGCACGGUAGCUCAGAAGGUUAGAGCGGGCGACUCAUAACCGCCAGGUCGACAGUUCGAUUCUGUCCCGUGCCA
rnacentral:tRNA from 1 species